AAGAGAUCUGUAUAACACCUAGGAAACAGAUGCUAAUACCGGAUAACAACAGAUGAUGCCUAUCAACUGUUUAAAAGAUGGUUCUGCUAUCACUCUUGGAUGGACCUGCGGUGCAUUAGCUAGUUGGUAGGGUAACGGCCUACCCAAGGCGAUGAUGCAUAGCCGAGUUGAGAGACUGAUCGGCCACAUUGGGACUGAGACACGGCCCAAACUCCUACGGGAGGCAGCAGUA
rnacentral:rRNA from 1 species